GGCCUUAUGGCCUAAUGGAUAAGGCGUCGGACUGCGGAUACGAAGAUUACAGGUUCGAGUCCUGGCAGGGUCG
rnacentral:tRNA from 1 species